GCUGCCUGAACCUGGAGAGGGCAGUCGGCUCCGCCCGCCGACUUAGGUGGGCGGAGACAGUCGCGCGAGUUCGGCGGGCCUACAUUCUCCCGCGCUAUUAACCAGCCCGCCCCUUUUUGCACAUGCGCGUACAUCAGCACUAGAACGAGGGGUUGUAGAGUGGCGUCUGGAGUUGCGCCUGCGCUGUGGAUGCCCCUGCCGGAAGUGGGCGGGUCGUAUUCCUAAGCCUAAAGGGCGGAGGGAGAAAACGCGGCAAAUGCUAACUGAAUGGAAAGCAGAGUUGGGGCGCUGUCCCAGAUUCGUGAACCUAGAAAUGUAAAGACCAGAAUGUGAUCACAGAGAACUUACUUGUCCAUCUAAAAAAGAAACGUUCGUCCUAGGAGACAGGAAACCGUCUGGAAGUCACGUUCAGUAAGAGGCGGAAAAGAAGUCUGCAUCGAGGCAUUUGUGGAAAGCACGUUGUGUUUUAUACGUGUGCACCUUACUGGAUACUGGAGAUUCAAAGGGCACGAGGCAGAAGGUGACUUUUUGACCACAGUGACCUGGUUAAGCAGGGAGCACCUGGAAAACUGUCUAAGGAAGUGUAAGCUGGUGAGCAGAGAAACUUCCAUGCCAAGUUACAAAUCCUAAUCAAGAAUCCAAACAACUGAAAGGAAAAGUGAUUCUUGGGUAUUCUGAGGAAAUUACUCAGACAUUACGUGGGGCUAGGGAGAAAAAAAUUUCCCUUUUGUGUUUGUUUGUUUUAAAUAUUUAUUUAUUUAUUUGAGAGAGACUGUGGGCACAUGGCUCCUGCAGCCAGAGGGAGGGAAUCCUAAAGCAGACUCACCACUGAGCAAGCAUCUGAGGGGGGGGCUCCAUCCCAGGAUCCCGAGAUCAUGACCUGAGCCGAAAUCAAGUGUCGGGUGCUCAACCAACCGAACCGCCCAGGAUCCCCAAGAUUUUCCCUUUUGGAUAGCCACCAUCUUCCUAAACUAUUUUCUCCUUGAGAGAUUGGAUCUUAGAAGGGUCUUAACCCAAGAAUGCACCUGUUGUAGAAAGAAGGAAUUGCUUCAUAGGUGACUUGCAAGGAACACAGAAAAGUACUGAAAAACUGAACAAGGACACCUUAAAUGGACUCACAGUACACCCAUUAGUACCAUUUUACCCAUAGAGGAGUCACACAGGCCUCAUGCUAAAGAAGGGCCUUGUGCUUGGCUUAAUGCUCUGCUGUCACCAUUUUGAAAUUCUUAAUUUUUUAGCAAGGAAUCCCACAUUGUCAUUUUGCACUGGGCCGCACAAGUUAUGUACUUGGUCCUGCCUCCCUCCUCCAACGUUUCUCUUUUUCUCUCUUUUGUAGUCCUUUCUCUUCUCUUCCCCUCUGCUAUAUUUCCCUCUUCCUAUUUUCCUUCCUUGGCUUUUUCCCCACUCCUUUAAGGCUGAGUAUAAGGAUGCUGUGGCCUUGGGGCGCCUAGGUGUCUCAGUCGGUUAAGCGUCUGCCUUUGGCUCAGGUCAUGAUCCCAGGGUCCUGGGAUCUAGCCCCGCAUCUGGCUCCCUGCUCAGCGGGGAAUCUCCCUCUCCAUCUGCCUCCCCCCACCUCCGGGCUCGUACUCUUUCUUGCUUUCUCUUGCUUUCUCUCUCUCUCUCAGAUAAAAUCUUAAUUCAAAAAAAAAAAGGAUGCUGUGGCCUUGUAAGCCUCCAAACAUGUUCCUGUCAUGGGUUGAAUUGUGUUUCCCCCAAAGACAUCGAAAUCCUGAUCUCCAGUUCCUGUGAAUGUGAUUUUAUUUGGAAAGAGGGUCUGUGCAGAUGAUCAAGUUAAGAUGAGGUCAUUAGGGUAGGUCCUAAUACGAUAUGGCUGGUAUCCUUAUGCAAAGAGAAAAUAUGGACAGAGACAGACACAAGCAGAAUGCCAAGUAAGAUUGGAGAGAUGCUGCCACAAGCCAAGGAAUACAAAAGAUGGCAGGAACAUCACCAGAAGCUAGAAGAGGAACAUGGAACAUAUCUGAGCUUCCAGAAGGAACCACCCCUACAGACACCUUGAUUUCAGAUUUCUAGCCUCCAGAACUGUGAGACAAUACAUUUCUGAUGUUAACGCCUCCCAGUUUCUGGUACUUUGUUACAGCAGGCCUAGGAAAUGAAUACAAUUCCCCAUAGGUCCUUAAUAAAUACUUGAUGAAUAAAUGGAUGGUUGAAUAAAGUAUAAUUGUAUUGUCUUUGCCUCUUUAAAAGAUGACAAAAGACCUAUGAAGAUAAUAACUGUCCUUUUUUUUCUUUUUUGUUUUUAAGUAGCCUCCACACCUAGCGUGGGGCUUGAACUCAGGACCCUGAGAUCAAGAGUCACAUGCUCUACUAACUGAGCCAGCCAGGCCCCCCAACUGUCAGUCCUUUCAACUCUAGUGAAUGGUUGAAAAGCUGGCCCCUUCCCCAACCUACUUCAUUUUCUCCUAUGAUAUAAUCACUGUAUUCGAUACUGACUUUGUCCUGUGUCUUCACACAUGUCCUGGGCCAUGAUAAUAUGGGCAGAUAGAGUGGGUGACUGUGGUGGACAUUCUUGGUUGCUACUGAAAUUCAAUGCCCUUUUCUCCUUGAUAUGAGAUCUCCAAGUGUAUGAGCUUCCGUUUUGUCCAGGGAAAGUGACCCCCACCUCCCAGAACCAGAGGGAAAAUUGUCAUUGGGCAAGUCUUUUCUGUAAAGCUAAUAAAUAUUUUUUGACUUUGAAGGCCAAAUGUUUUCUCAUAUAUAUAUGUAGCAACAAUACAUAGCUACACUUAUAUUGAUGAAUGAAAUUGAAAUUGUGUUGCAAAUAAUACGGACCUCAUUCAUUACUCAAAAUGUUAGGCUCUGCCUUAGUUCCUUCAGGCUGCUGGAACAAAAUACCACAGGCUGGUAUUAUAAACAAUAGAAUUUUAUUUCUCACAGUCUGGAGGCUGAAAGUCCAAAAUAAGGGUGUCAGCAUGGUCAGCUGGGUUGUAGACUUCUUACUGUAUUCUCACAUGGUGGGGUCUCUUUUAUAAGGACACUAAUCCCACUUAUGAAGGCCCCACUCUCAUGGUCUAAUCACCUCCCAAAGGCCCCACUUCCUAAUACCAUCACAUUGGGCAUUGGGGUUCCAACAUGUGAAUUUGGGGGGAUAGGGCAUUUAGGCCAUAGCAGCCCAUAAGUAUAAAUAUUAAUAAGAAAAUUUCAUGAUGUUAGGUGCCAUUCCAAAGAAGAGUUCUGUAUCAUAAAUCUGUUCCCUAUCCCGGUUGUCUCAUUUAGCUUUUGUAGUAAAACAAACAGCAACCUGUUCUGAGUGGCAUACAGCAAUAAGCAUUUCUGUAGCUUAUUUAUUUUCAGGUGGCUGAUCUAGGUUGGCCUUGGUUAAGGCAGCCAGGUGUCUCUCUUCCUCCCCAUUUCAAAUAGCCCAAUAGCGGCUUUCCUGAAAAUGCACUUAGAUUUUUUGUAAGCCAUCAGCCAAAUGAAAUAGACUUUUCAAAAGUACUUCAAAAAGGCAGAAGGUUCGAACUCUUUUAGGGAGUGUGAACCGCUUUGGAAGACACUUUGGUAUGAUCUGGUGCAGUUAAAGGUAAGAACGGCAAUGAACUAGCUGUGUGCCAGGAUAAAUAGACACGAAGCUGUUGUAGCAUUGUUGUACACAUCCCGAGCAGGAAGUGACCUGACUGUUUAUCAGUGAUAGAAGGGUAAACCACUUGUGUGCUAUUCACGCACGAGAACAUCCUAACAGCGAAAACAAAUUAGAGUCAUAUGCAGCGUAGAGCCUCUUUUUUUUUUUUUAAGAUUUUAUUUAUUCAUUUGAGACACAGAGAUACAGAGACAGAGAGAGAGCAUGAGAGGCAGAGGGAGAGGGAGAAGCAGGCUCCCUGCUGAGCCAGGAGUCUGAUGUGGGGCUCGAUCCCAGGACCCUGGGAUCAUGACCUAAGCCGAAGGCAGACGUGUAACCAUCUGGGCCACCCAGGCACCCCAGCAUAGAUGAGUCUUAAACAUACUGUUGCAUGCAAGAAGACCAGCAUAAAAAUAAACAACAAAAAGAAAAUAAAGUAUAAUUUCAUUUAGAAAAUUUCGAAGCUAGGAAAAACAAAUCUAUGUCAUCUAGGGAUGCAAAGAUAAAUAGUAAAAACUACAAGGAAAAGCAAAAGAAAUAGGAUUGUGGUUACCUCUGGGGAAAGGAAGGGGAUUGUGAAUCAGCAUGGGCGACUCUUUGGGGGUUGUCAAUGUUCUAUUUCGUUCUUUUUUUUUUUUAAGAUUUUAUUUAUUUAUUCAUGAGAGAGAGAGAGAGGCAGAGGGAGAAGCAGGCUCCCAAGGAGCACGGAGCCCGAUGCGGGACUCGAUCCCAGGACCCUGGGGUCAUGACCUGAGCCCAAGGCAGACGCUUAACCAUCUGAGUCACCCACGCGCCCCUAUUUCUUUUUUUUUAAUUGAAAUAUAACUGACAUACAAAAUCCUAUUCAGGUGUACCUCGUAGUGAUUCAAUAUUUUUAUACAUUACAAAAUGAUCCCCAUGAUAAGUUUAGCUACCAAUCGUCACCCUACAAAGUUAUUACAAUAUCAUUAUUUUUUAAAUGAUUUUUUUAUUUUUAAAAAAAUUUAAAAUUUUUGUUUAUGUAUUAAAAAAUUUUUUUUAAAAGAUCUUAUUUAUUUGACAGCACAAGCAGGGGGAGUGGCAGGCAGAGGGAUAGGGAGAAGCAGACUCCCUGCUGAGCAAGGAGCCUGAUGCUGGGCUCGAUCCCAGGACCCCAGGAUCAUGACCUGAGCUGAAGGCAGACGCUUAACUGACUGAACCACCCAGGUGCCCCAAAGUUAUUACAAUAUUAUUAACUAUAUUCCCUAUGCUGUACAUUAUAUUCCUAUGACUUAUUUAUUUAUUUGAGGGAAAGGGAGAGAGAAUCUUAAGCAGGCUCCACACACGGCACAGAACCCAGCAUGGGGCUCAUUCUCAAGACCAUGAGAUCAUGACCUGAGCUGAAAUCAGGAGUUGGAUGCUUAACUGACUGAGCCACCCAGGUGCCCCCAGUGACUUACUUGUUUUAUAGCUGGAAGGCAGUGUUCUAUUUCUUGACCUGGGUUGUGGUUACAUGGGAGGUGUUCAUCUCAUAAUUCUUUUUUUUUUAAUUAAAAAAAUUUUAUUGAAGUAUAAUUGACAUAGUGUUUUAUUAGUUUCAGGUGUACAACAUUUUUUUUGAAGAUUUUAUUUAUUUAUUUGAGACAGAGAAUGAGAGAGACAGAGAGCACAUGAGAGGGGGGAGGGUCAGAGGGAGAAGCAGGCUCCCCGCCGAGCAGGGAGCCCGAUGCGGGACUCGAUCCAGGGACUCCAGGAUCAUGACCUGAGCCGAAGGCAGUCGCUUAACCAACUGAGCCACCCAGGCGCCCAGGUGUACAACAUAUUGAUUCAAUACUUCUAUACUUCUGUAUUGCCUUCCCUUAGAUGAUCUUCCAGUAUCUUUUGUGUGGUGCAAUAUUUAAUAUGACAUACAUUACAUAUGAAUAAGAGCUCUAUCUAGCUUUGCUCAUUAUUGUAAUCCCAGUGCCUAGCAUGGUGCUUGGUGCAUAGUAGGCACCCAAAAAUAUAUAUUACUUGUAACAACUUUUAAGAUGUGAGUCACCUACCAUAAAAUUCACUCUUUGAGGUGCACAAUUCAGUGUAUAUUCACAGACUUGUGCAGCCAUCAGCACUAUCUAAUUCCAGAAUAUUUUCAUCAUCCCCCAAAGAAACCUCACACCCUUAGCAGUCACUGUCUCUCCCCUUCCCCCAUCCCCAUUCUCUGACAACCACUAAUCUACUUUCUGUCUCUAUGGAUUUGCUUAUUCUGGACAUUUCAUAUACAUGGUAGUGCACAGUUAUAUGGUCUUUUGUGACUGACUCCUUUCACAUAGCAUAAUGACUUCAAGGGUCUUCCAUGUGGUAGCAUGUGUGAGUACUUUGUUCUGUUUUGGUUUGUUUUUAAUUUUUCUUAUUAAGUGAUAUCUAUGCUCAGCAUGGGGCUUGAACUGUUCACCAAGAGUCAGGAGUCGCACGCUUCACUGACUAAGGCAGCCAGUCGUCACACACACCAUUCUGUUUUAUAGCAGAAUAAUGUUCUAUGAUAUGGUAUAUCACAUUUUGUUCAUUCAUCAGUUGACAGACGUUUGGGCUAUUUAUGCUUUUUGGCUAUUUGGAAUAAAGCUACCAUGAAUAUCUGUGUACAAGUUUUUGUGUAGGCAUAUGUUUUCUCUCAGUGGUACACCUAGGAGUGGAAUUACUGGGUCAGAUGAUUAGUCCAUGGGUGACUUUUUUUUUUUUAAGAUUUUAUUAUUUUUUUAAAGUACUCUCUACACCCAACAUAGGGCUUGAACUCACAACCCUGAGAUGAAGAGUCAUACACUCUACCAACUGAGCAGCCAGAUGCUCCCUCCAUGUGUCACUUCUUGAGGAACUGCCAAAUGUUUUCCAAAGUGGCUGCACCAUUUUGCAUUCCCACAAGUAACAUUAUGAGGGUUUUAAUUUCUCUAUAUCUUUGCCAUCAUUUGGUAUUGUCUUUUUAAAAAUACAUAUUUUUAAAGAUUUUAUUCAUCUCUUUGAGAGAGAGAGAGAGAGCACAAGCAGGGACAGAGGGAGAGGGAGAAGCAGACUCCCUGCCAAGCCAGGAGCCCCAUGUGGGACUCCAUCCCAGGACCCUGAGAUCAUGACCUGAGCCGAAGGCAGUCGCUUAACCUACUAAGACACCCAGGCGCCCCUAAAAUAAGUUUUUAAAAAUUAAAAAAAAAUUUGAGUAAUCUUCACACCCAAAGUGGGGCUCAAAUUCACAACCCUGAGAUUAAAAGUCACCUGCUCUACUGAAUGAGCCAGCCAGGUGACCCUGGUAUUGUAUUGUCUGUCUUUUUUUUUUUUUAAGAUUUAUUUAUUUUAGUGAGAGAGUGGGGGAGGGGCAGAGAGAGAGACUCUCCAGCAAACUUCCCACUGAGCGCAGAGCCCCACACGUGGGGCUCGAUCUCACAACCCUGAGAUCAUGACUUGAGCCGAAACCAAGAGUUGGAUGCUUAACCAACUGCGUAACCCAGGCACCCCAAUUGUCUGUCUUUUUAACUUUAGCCAUUCUAGUGGGUGUGAAAUGGUAUCUCAUGAUUUGAUUUUUAUUCCCCAAUGACUAUAACAAUGUUGAACUCAGUAGAUAUGUGUCAAAUGCAGGAAUAAUCACAUAAGUUUUCAGAUUAAAUAGCUACACCAAAAUUUUUAUACCAUUUUUUUAAAAAGUGUUUAUUCAUUUACUUGAGAGAAAGAGAAUGGUGGGGGGAGGGGCAGAGGGAGAAGCAGACUCCCCGGGCCCCCAGAUCAUGACCUGAGCUGAAGGCAGACGCUCAACCAACUGAGCCACCCAGGUGCCCCAAGUUUUACACUAUUUUUAAAAAUUAAUACUUCAGUUGUUUUCUGGUUCUAGAAGUAGUAUAUGCUGAAAUGACUAUCCCAAAAUCAAGGUAGUGGUUACCUUUGUGGGGAGGGAGGGAGAAAGUUAUGAUUAGGGAAGAAGGACAUGGGAUUAUCUAGAGUGAUGGCAACCUUAUUCUUGAUGUGGGUCUUAGUUGUACAGAUUCUCUUUAUAAUUUAUUUAAACUACAUAAAAAUUGUACUUUUCUGUGUAUAUAUAUAUAUGUCACAAUAAAAAGGUUAUUGUUGGAAAUUUGGAAAUUGUUUUGUUUUAUUAAAGAUGAAGAGCAUUGAAAUAGUUCUACCACCCAUACUCUGUGAAUGGUAGUUUUUUAGGUGGGAGAAAAAAGAAUAUUUGUUAAUCUGUUGAACAAGCCUUUUUGCCUUUUGUUGGAAGAAACAGAAAUUUCUGAGAAGUCGCCAGCAGGUGGUGCAAUGAAACAAGACUUAAUCUUGUAGCCUAAAAAGCAAACCAAAACAAAAACCUAAAAAGCAGCCAACACUCCGCCUAGUCAUUGGAAAACGUUUUUGUGAAUUUCCUAUUAUCUACAAUCUUCCUCCAAUAUCUUCCAUCAUACAAAGGAAUCUGGUACAUACGGCUUCACUGGGAAACUGUUAGACUUCAUUCUUCAAAUGCAUCGAACAAAGAAAAACAUAGACGCUCGAUGUUUUCUCCCUUUUGUUUCACAGAGGACCUUCAAAAUAGUAGGAAUGGCUGGGACUCAUCAUAUAGGGCUUUUGUGUCUGCAACAAAUGAGGACAGCAAGGGUGUCUACAGAUACAUUCCUUUUGUAUUCUGAGAUGGCAUUCGGCUUUUGAGGUGAAUUAGGAAGUGUUCAGUUUCUAAACCUUUAUCAAGCACUUCCUUCUGCGCAUCUCUGGCCAUUGGAGGUUGGGGAAAUUUUCACUAGAAAAUUAAUAAUAGAAAGGAUAAAUUUUUUUUUUUAAAUCUACACCCAGAUGGGUUGAAAAAGCAGUGCUUUGUACUGUACUUGCAGCUUUUCCUUAAGUCUGAGAUUGUUAAAUAAGUUAAAAAUUUUUAUAUGUAUGUAAGUCAAAUCACAGAAAGGGAGAAAAUAUUUGCAAUUGUGUAUAUGAAAGGGACUUGUAUCCAGAAGAUAUAAAGAACCCUUACAACUCAACAAUAAAAAAGGGAAAUAGCCCCAUUUAAAAAUGAGCAAAGGAUUAGAAUAGACAUUUCUCCAAAAGAAGAUAUAUAAAUGGUCAAUAAACACAUGAAAAGACACUCAACAUUUUUAGCGAUUAAGAAAACACAAAAUUAAAACCACAAUGAGAUACACUCCAUACAAAACUGUAAGGAUGGCUAAAAUGAAAAACACAGACAAUAAGCAGUGUUGACAUGGAUGUGGAGAAAUUGGAGCCUUCAUGCAUUGCUAGUGAGGGUGUAAAAUGGGCAGCUACUUUGGAAAACAGUUUGGCAGUGCCUCAAAAUGUUAAACACAGGGGCACUUGGAUGGCUCGGUCGGUUUAAGUGUCUUGACUUUGGCUCAGGUCAUGAUCUCAAGGUCCUGGGAUUGAGCCUUGUGUCAGGCUCUGUGCUCAGCAGGGAGUCUGCUUGUCCCUUUCCCUCUCCCCCCUCCCCGCCCCCCCCGACUCGUUCUCUCUCUCUCUUUCUCAAAUGGAUAAAUGAAAUCUUAAAAAAAAAAAGAGAAACACAGAAAUUACUCAGCAAUCCCACUCCUAGGUAUAAUACGAGAAAAGAAAACACAUGUCCACACAAAACCUUGUACACAAAUGUCAUAGCAGCAUUGUUCACAAUAGCCAAAAAGUGAAAACAACCUGAAUUGCCAUCAACCAAUGAAUGGAUAAGCAAAAUGUGUACUUCCUGUUUGAGUCUGAAGUCCUGAGAACCAGAAAACUAAUGGUAAAAGUUCUAGCCCAAGUCCAAAGGUCUGAGAAACCAGGAGAGGUAAAAAAAAAACACCCCAGGAGAGUUGAUGCUGUAAAUCCCUGUCCGACGGCAGUAGAAGACUGAUGUCCCAGCUAAAGUGGUCAGGCAGAGAGAGAGGGAGAAUUCUCUCCACCUUUUUGUUGUAUUCAGACCUUCAACUGAUUAGAUGAGCCCCCCAACAUUGGGGAAGACAGUCUGUUUUACUCAAUCUACUGAUUCAAAUAAUCUCUUCCAGAAACUCCAUCACAGACACACCAAGAAUAACAUUUAACCAGACAUCUGGGCAUUGUGUGGCCUAGUCAAGUUGACAUAUGAAAUUAAUCAUCACAGUAUCUCGAUAAAGCUAUUAUUAAAACAAUAUAUAGGGGCACCUGGCUGGCUCAGUCGGUAAGGCAUGCGACUCUUGAUCUCAGGGUUGUGAGUUCGAGUCCCCUGUUGGGAGAGUUUACUUAAAACAACAACAAUAUAUAUUACCCUUCAAAGCUGUCAAGGUCAUGAUAACCAAGGAAACACUGAAAUAGGAGACUAUUAAAGACAGGAAGCCUAAGUGCCAUGUCAGGUUGAAUUCUGGAACAGAAAAAGAACAUCAAUGGAAAAACUGGAAAAAUCUGAAUAAAGUCUGGAGGUUUGUUUAUAGUAAUAUGCCUGUGUUAAUUUCUUGUGUUUUUUUUUUUUAAGAUUUAAUUUAUUUAUUUUUGCGACAGAGAAAGCACACACGAGUGGGAGGGGAGGGAAAGAGGGAAAAGGAGACUCCCCACUGAGCAGGGAGCCUGAUGCAGGACCCUGGGAUCAUGACCUGAGCCGAAAGCAGAUGCUUAACUGACUGAGCCACCCAGGCGCCAAAUUUCUUGGUUUUGAUAAAGGUGUCAUGGUUACGUAAAUUGUCAGCAUGAGGGAAAACUGAGUGAAGAGUAUGUGGGAACUGUCUGUACUUUUCUUUGCAGCUUUGUAAAUCUAAAAGUAUCCCAAAAUAAAAUGUUUAUUUUUUUUGAAAACCCAAAUAUAUCAGUGCUUACUGGUACUUACAUAGUGUUGGGCACUUUAUCUACAUCAAUGCAUUAAUCCUCACGACAGUACUACGAGAGCAAUCCCUGUUUAUAGAGAAGGCGAAUUAUGGACUCAAGGUCAUGCAUCUGACAAGUGGGAGGGCUGGGGUUUGAACUCGGGUUUGGCUGGGCCAAAGAAAUCACAUGCCCUUCCAGCCAGGACUUCAGCCCCAGUUAGGUGCAGUAAUGCAAAUAACUGAACAAGGAUAGAAAGGGCAUUUUGAUACCUGAAGAGUAAACACUAAAUAAAUGAAAUUUCUUUUUUUUUUUUUAAGGUUUUAUUUAUUUAUUUGACAGAGAGAGACAGGAAGAGAGGGAACACAAGCAGAGGGAGUGGGAGAGGGAGAAGCAGGCCUCCCACAGAGCAGGGAGCCCGAUGUGGGGCUCGAUCCCAGGACCCUGGGACCAUGACCUGAGCCGAAGGCAGACGCUUAACGACUGAGCCACCCAGGCGCCCCAAUGAAAUUUCAUAAUAAUGCUUGCUGUUUACAUUAUAAACCUGUGAACUGGGGCGCCUGGCUGGCUCAGUCGGAAGAGCACGCAUGACUCUUGAUCUCAGGGUUGUGAGUUCGAGCCCCAGGGUGGGCAUAGAGAUUACUUAAAUAAAUAAAACUUAAAAAAAAAAAAAAGCCAUGAACAGAAAGAUAGGGGCUUACAAUUUCUAUCAAACACCUGAAAAACAUUUCAGGAAAAAAAAAUUCCAUCAAUUUACAUGAUGGACUAUUUCUGUUAUACUAAAUUCACCCAAUCUUUUUCAGGGUGCAGGAAUGACCAUGUGCCUUUAACCAGUAUAUACACAGUAUUUUGGGCUCUACUUUUUUACUUAACACAAUUUAAUAUACCUGUUUAUAGGCAUCCAUUUAGUUCCCAUACUGAUUAUUUUAACAGCCAUAUAGUAUUAUAUGAAAUAGACUACAGCUUGAUCAUUUUAACAGCCAUAUAGUAUUAUAUGAAACAGACUACAGCUUACUUCACCGUUUCCCUGUUGUGGGGCAUUUGGGAUGUUUCCAGCGGUCUAAAAAGUGCUGCUA